rnacentral:sRNA from 1 species
GUGCGUACGUGCGUCGUCUCUAUGGUGGCGGCGGAUUUGGACGGACCCUACGAACCAGGAGUCAGGCGAGCCGAUCUGGGGCUGCAGGAUGUUCCGCUGGGAGCGCUCCAUUCCCCUGCGAGGCUCGGCCGCCGCCCUGUGCAACAACCUCAGUGUGCUGCAGCUGCCGGCUCGCAACCUCACGUAUUUUGGCGUGGUUCAUGGACCAAGCGCCCAGCUUCUCAGCGCUGCUCCUGAGGGUGUGCCCUUGGCCCAGCGCCAGCUCCAUGCUAAGGAGGGUGCUGGAGUGAGCCCCCCACUUAUCACUCAGGUGAGGCAUGGAGUUGGGAGUGAUGUUGCUGAACCCCGUCCUACCCCCAGCCUUUUCUCUCCAAACCUUCAGGAGCAGGCAUGUCCUAACCUCAGAAUCUCCCCUCUCCUGCCGGGCACGGUGGCUCACGCCUGUAAUCCCAACACUUUGGGAGGCCGAGACGGGCACUUGAGGCCAGGAGUUUGAGACCAGCCUGGCCAUCAUGGU